CAAUGGGAGCUAAAAUGCGAGCUAAAGUGCCAAUGGGAGCUAAAAUGUGUGCUAAUGUGCCAAUGGGAGCUAAAAUGCGAGCUAAAGUUCUGUUUUGUCCCUAGGGUGGACCCAGAGAAGACUCCCCUCCAUGGACACAGAGGACUUUGAGACGAUUCCCUCCAGUGGAGAAGAAUCCUCCAACUCUUCUGAGGAUGAAAGCAGCAAUAAGAAUGCUGACAGCAGUCGCUACCGGGUGCAGCUAACGUAUGCAGCAUGUGAAGCCAAGGAUCUCUCUCUGGAAACCAAAGACAUGGUUCAGUUUUUGGAAGAAGCAGAAACUGGAAAUUGACAUCGUCAGUGAUCUCUGCACAGCAGCUCAGAGUUUGAAGAAAAUGACGUCAGCACUUGGACAGAUGGACGGCAAACAAACAUCCAUCAACUGAUAUGAAAAGCUUUGAACAAGUUGUAGAUCUUUUUGAUGGACUGCAGGUCUACCUUUCUGUUCUUAUUUUUUCUCUUUAAUUCUCUGAUCUUUGCUGCAGCAGACCUGGAAAGCCUGAAUUCAUUUUAAUCCAAUGUAGCAGAGCAAUUAUAUCCACUAACUGCUUUCCAUACAUCAUAUUUGCAGUCUCCUCAGAAAUUAUUCAGACCUUUAUUUAUUACACUUUUCAAUUAUUAUUAUUCUUGAUUUUAUUUAAACUAUUUUUGGUAAAAUGUAUGAAAUAUUUAAAGAAGGAAACUUAGAUUAAUUUACAUAGAUACAUUUAGCUAAAGCUUUAUUAAGUGUUGCCUUUUUCCAGACAGGAAACAUUAAAAUAAACUGGCGACAAAAAAAAUGUGAAAAUCUUUUUAUUAUGCAGUUAUUUAAAUAAAAGCGUCUUAAAUUUUCACCUUACCAGC